AAAAAGAUAAGCUAAAUCUAAGCUUUUGGGUUCAUACCCCAACCAUAAAGUAAUACUUUUCUUUUUA
rnacentral:tRNA from 1 species